rnacentral:rRNA from 1 species
GAGUUUGAUCGUGGCUCAGAUUGAACGCUGGCGGCAUGCCUUACACAUGCAAGUCGAACGGCAGCAUGAUCUAGCUUGCUAGAUUGAUGGCGAGUGGCGAACGGGUGAGUAAUACAUCGGAACGUGCCCUGUAGUGGGGGAUAACUAGUCGAAAGAUUAGCUAAUACCGCAUACGACCUGAGGGUGAAAGUGGGGGACCGCAAGGCCUCAUGCUAUAGGAGCGGCCGAUGUCUGAUUAGCUAGUUGGUGGGGUAAAGGCCCGACCAAGGCGACGAUCAGUAGCUGGUCUGAGAGGACGAUCAGCCACACUGGGGCUGAGACACGGCCCAGACUCCUACGGGAGGCAGCGGUGGGGAAUUUUGGACAAUGGGCGAAAGCCUGAUCCAGCAAUGCCGCGUGUGUGAAGAAGGCCUCGGUUGUAAGU